rnacentral:sRNA from 1 species
UACUUUCUUUACUUCAAUUUGAUUGUUCGUGAUUUUGAGCAUGUUGUUAAUUUGAAGGCGAUUAUAUUACUCAUGUGUUUAAGUUAAUUCAAAAGUGAGCAAUCAACCAUACUUUAGCAAAUCCCACCAUAUUCCUUUUUUAUCAAUUAAUUAUUGUAGUGUUUGUUGGAGCUAGAUUUCUUUCCAGGAAUCCACGUACGAAAAUACCAGGCCAACCUAAUAAACCCAGUGAACCCAUCAAGUAAAGGACCUGCGCAACUCCAGAGCCCACGUACGAACUAGAUAUUUGGGCCUUAUGAGCUCAAUCAUUUGGCAAAGAGAGAUAUGCGGAUAACAGCUUUGGAACUAACAAGGAGAUAUUCGCGGAGCGGACCUGAUAUCUCGGAACUGACCUGCCGAAUAUCCAAGAGAAUCUCUGCGGAUCACAGAUGGAACUGCCCACGUGCGCAGAUCUAUAUAAGGAAGCAAAGAUGACUUGGAAAAUAGAUUCAUUCAGCUUAACAUUCACACUUACACUUUUACACUUGUAAUCUCAUUCCACAUUGUAAAACCUUUGUUAUUAUCAAUACAAAAGUUCAUUCGUUCUUAGCAAUAUAAAUCUCAAAGUUCUUGUGAAGAUCUAGCCCUCCUUUCUUAUAAACCUAAUUACAAAUCUCUAGUGUGGAUUUCAGAACCCACAUUUGGCGCCGUCUGUGGGGACGAAAAUAGAUCCUUCCAACACCGAAACUAACACAUCAAUUGUGACCAACGAUCAUUUAUCCCAAUUCAUCCGAUUCAACGAGAUCCGACGUACCUGCUCAGAUCUCAAACGCUACUUUUACGGACGAACGCCUCCCGACGGAUCUCCCUCUUGGAAUCCAAAUCGAUGCUAUCCGUGACGCUAAUGCGGAGAACCUCUCCCAAAACUUGAAUUCUUCUGAAUCAGAACAAACUCUCCCCCCCACUGCCCCGCAAACUAAGGACAGGGAGCAGCAUGUCACGAUACAACCUCCCAACGGAUAACUGUCCUCCGCUCAACCUGGCUUACCCCUCCAAGCAGGUCCUUCUGAGAUCUGCCAACGAGUUGGCCAAGCUCCGCACAAUGAUCAUAAACCUGAUCAACAUAAGCAAAAACCAAGAAAUCGUGCACCACAAUAGUAGGGCAAUAGUUGGCUAAGCUCCGCACAAUCUACUCGCGCGGGGCAUGAGAUAUAGCGCGAUAUCGCGGGCAAGGAAACUCCUCCCCAGGAAACUGAGAUCCCUUCCCAGAUCUCCAUAGAUUUGACAGGAGCUGCUUCCCUGACAGAUCCCACUCCAAGGACUCGUUUAGACUUCGCCUCGAUAGAGGUCUAACCCCCU